GCCCGGCAGACGCCCCCGCCCCGCCUCACCGCGCCCCGCAGGAGCCGCCUCCUCCCGCCGGCGCGGCGCCUGUCCCCGGGUCUCGGCGCCCCCGCUCGGGGCCACCGAAGGGUCUGGGGGCUCAGGGCGGGGGGAGGCGAUCCGAGUCCGUGGGAGCCGCCCCAGCCCCGCAGUCCCAGCAGCAAACCGAGCUUGGUCGGACGGACGCUCGCGCGGAGGGAAACUGAGAGACAGCUCUUCUUUGGGGACCUCAAACACAGAUCAUUUCAGAGAGAGAAAUCCCAAGGCCCCGCCUGUCUUCCCUGACCCAGCAAGACGACACCUUCAGGAACUUGAGCUGGCGCAGCGAAGUCCUUUCAGUUUGCGGAUCCCAGUCGAUGCACCGCAACCCCAGGAGAAGGAGUCCUGCCGAGCUCCAAAUGAGAAAAUCAAGCCAGUUCAAAGGCGUCAAGAGAAACUAGAUUUGGUUAGCAUGCGCUGAGCGGGCAGGAGCAGGGCACCGGGCUCUCGCCACCCCAUCCGGAGGGACUCUGCUACUGGAGGGAGAAAAUCUACCCCGGAUCUGGGACGGUUCAGACUGACUGUCCAACUCGGAGAAACGGUUUAGUUCAGAGCAGAGAUGCGACGCUCUGUCGUGCAGGCGACUGGGGGCUUCGCAGGAAACGCUCCGAGAUUAGGCUUCCAAACGCCCCUUCGCCCAGCCCAGUACAACUUGGCUUUAUUUUUUAUUCUUGAAAGUUGUGGAAAUAAACUCUGGAGUCUGUGAAGAAAGGUGGUUCGUUCACAUGGCUCAAGAGGCGAAAUAAACAAAAUGCACACAAUGCUGCAAGAAGCCACUGAAAUCCUUCAUUAAUGCAGAGCUCUGCCAAGAGCAGCCCCUACGUGCGUGCACCAAUGAGCUGAGGGGACCCACCUCCUGAUGGGAGAGACUCUGAAGCCAGGGCCGGAUGGCGUGUGAUCUGGUGCCCACGGCGGAGACAGCUUUGCUGAGAGCUCUGCCUGAUGAAGAGCGACACCUCCGUUCUUUCAUCCAUUAAAACCCGGAUGGCCAGCGACAGUGUGGUACCCUGGACUGGACCCUGGCACAAGGGACAUCAGUGGAAAAGCUGGUGAAACCCGAACCCUGGUAAAUCUGAAGUUUAUUUCAUGGUGCAGCAGUACCCCCUUCUCCACAGGUUCAGUUACCUGCAGGGUCCACUGAGGUUGAAAGAAGGCCAUCCGAAGGUCAGUAGUAGCUUCACCCUGUGUCCCAGUGCGCAUGCCAGGCCCCUCCCUCCAUCUCAUCAUGGAGGCAUUUUACCAUCUCACAUGAUCACAAGAAGGGUGAGUGCAGGACAAUAAGGUGUUUAGGGACAGCCAGAGACCAUGGGCCCAUAACUUUUAUUACAGUAUAUUCUACUUUAUUAUUCAUUAUUGUUGUUAAUCUUUCACUGUGCCUAACUUACUAAUUAAAUUUUAUCAUAGGUGUAUCUGUAUAGGAAAAACAUAGUAUAUAUAGGGGUCGGUAUAAUCCGUGGUCUCAGGCAUCCACUGAAUGGGGGGAACGUGUCCCCUGCAGAUAAGAGGAGCUGCUGUAUUGUAGAAAUGUUAACUCUUAAUUUGACAAGUGUACCAUGGUUACAUAAGUUGUCCGGGAAAUCUGGAUGAAGGGUAUACUGGAACACCUACAACUUUUCUGUAAGUCUGGAGUUAUUCCAAA